UGUGUAGACGGCGUAUUAAGUCAACUGUUAAAUUCUCCGGCCUAACCGGAGGUCAGCGGUAGAAACUGGUAUGCUAGAGGGUGAAAGAGAGAAGUGGAAUUCUCGGAGUAGCGGUAAAAUGCGUAGAUCUCGAGAGGAACACCGAUGGCGAAGGCAGCUUCUUGGUUCAUUCCUGACGUUGAGACACGAAAGCGUGGGGAGCAAACAGGAUUAGAUACCCUGGUAGUCC
rnacentral:rRNA from 1 species